rnacentral:misc_RNA from 1 species
UACGUGAGCCCCAAGCGUUAUCCGGAUUUAUUGGGCGUAAAGGGUCCGUAGGUGGUUUCGUAAGUCAUAUGUUAAAUCUUCAGGCUCAACCUGGAGGCCGCGUGUGAUACUGCGAGACUAGAGGACGGGAGAGGCAGACGGAAUUGUUGGUGUAGCGGUAAAAUGCGUUAAUAUCAACAAGAACACCGAAGGCGAAGGCAGUCUGCUGGAACGAUCCUGACACUGAGGGACGAAAGCGUGGGUAGCAAACAGG